UACGAAGGGGGGCUAGCGUUGCUCGGAAUCACUGGGCGUAAAGCGCGCGUAGGCGGAUCGUUAAGUCGGGGGUGAAAUCCUGGAGCUCAACUCCAGAACUGCCUUUGAUACUGGCGAUCUUGAGUCCGGGAGAGGUGAGUGGAACUCCGAGUGUAGAGGUGAAAUUCGUAGAUAUUCGGAAGAACACCAGUGGCGAAGGCGGCUCACUGGCCCGGUACUGACGCUGAGGUGCGAAAGCGUGGGGAGCAAACAGG
rnacentral:rRNA from 1 species